rnacentral:rRNA from 1 species
GGGCGCACGCGCGCUACACUGACAGAGCCAGCGAGUAACUUUCCUUGCCGGAAGGCCUGGGUAAUCUUGUGAAACUCUGUCGUGCUGGGGAUAGAGCAUUGCAAUUAUUGCUCUUCAACGAGGAAUUCCUAGUAAGCGUGAGUCAUCAGCUCGCGUUGAUUACGUCCC